rnacentral:tRNA from 1 species
GCCAGCAUGGCAUAGUGGUUUGAGUAUCGGACUAUGACUCUGGAGACCAAGGUUCAAUUCCCCGCUCCACCG